AUUCCUGAAACAAAAGAUCCACUUCAGACUCUGCCACACCUAAAAAGAAGCUUUGAGGAAAUUGCCAGGCUCAAGUACAAUGAGAGAAUUGCCCACAAAGCAGAAAAUGAAAAAAGGCACAUAGAUACUGUGGAUACUUCUGUAAAGUGCCAAAGAUCUCGUACGGAUAUGGUCUGACAAGG
rfam:Ophiophagus hannah scaffold1784.1, whole genome shotgun sequence.